UUCUUCUACUGGGGCCCUUCAAGUAACGU
rnacentral:piRNA from 1 species